GAUGAACGCUGGCGGCGUGCCUAAUACAUGCAAGUCGAGCGAACAGACGAGGAGCUUGCUCCUCUGACGUUAGCGGCGGACGGGUGAGUAACACGUGGAUAACCUACCUAUAAGACUGGGAUAACUUCGGGAAACCGGAGCUAAUACCGGAUAAUAUAUUGAACCGCAUGGUUCAAUAGUGAAAGACGGUUUUGCUGGCACUUAUAGAUGGAUCCGCGCCGCAUUAGCUAGUUGGUAAGGUAACGGGUUACCAAGGCAACGAUGCGUAGCCGACCUGAGAGGGUGAUCGGCCACACUGGAACUGAGACACGGUCCAGACUCCUACGGGAGGCAGCAGUAGGGAAUCUUCCGCAAAGGGCGAAAGCCUGACGGAGCAACGCCGCGUGAGUGAUGAAGGUCUUCGGAUCGUAAAACUCUGUUAUUAGGGAAGAACAAAUGUGUAAGUAACUAUGCACGUCUUGACGGUACCUAAUCAGAAAGCCACGGCUAACUACGUG
rnacentral:rRNA from 1 species